GCGGAUCUCACAUAGUGGCAGUGUGCCGGCGUGCCAAGUCGGCUGUGCGGGUUCGAUUCCCGCGAUCCGCACCA
rnacentral:tRNA from 1 species